AUCUAUGGCCAUGCUAUCCUGAACAAGCUUGAUCUCAUCUGAUCUUGGAAGCUAAGCAGGGUUAGUACUUGGAUGGGAGAUCACCUAGGAAGACCAGAUGCUGCAUGUG
rnacentral:rRNA from 1 species